GGUAUAAUUCACUGAUUGAUUCCAUCAACUCGUUCAAGCACCAGCUCGAAGAAGCGUAGCUAAUUUAUCUUAGAAAAUCAUGGAUUUGAAAAAGCUACGCUUCUCGAGAAGGUGCAUGAACAAGUUGAUGCAUAUUUUGAUCUGCA
rfam:Arabidopsis lyrata subsp. lyrata unplaced genomic scaffold ARALYscaffold_4, whole genome shotgun sequence.